GGAAAGCGGAAAGGGGGGGGUGAUGAAGCGGACCGCCGGAAGCCGCGCCGCCAACCGGGGGGGCGCGUCACGUAACGUCAGUAGUCCCUGGACGCUCCUUUCCCCCCCCCUGGCCACGGCAGCCCGGCGGUGGGCUGCAGGAGGGUUGGCAGAGAAGCCACCCGUCUCCCGUCUCUACCCUCGGGGCCCAGCGCUACGGCGAGCCCCUCUCCAGCCGCCGGUGGUGACCGCGCACCGUGACUCUCCCACGCGCGCUCCGCCCAUACGCGUCUCUGGCGCGACGCGUGGGAGACGCUACCGUCAUUCUUUCUUUCUUUCUGUCUCUUUUUUCGUUAACUGUGGGAAAAAGGGGCGAGAAAAUGGAACGGGACAGGAGCCGCAGCACAAUAACGUCAUUUGAAUGCAGUCUCCUGUGCUCCGAGCUCGUUGCUGUCACUCAAAGCGUCUGUGAAACACAUGCAGUCCUUAAAUCCUUCGCUGGCACUCUUGGCUUUUGUCCCUGCCCUUGCAGUAGCCGCCCUGUCCUGCAUGGGUUCUUACUUCAUAUUUCCUUAUCGCCUCUUUCCCUCCAAAAAUCCACAAAUAUUUUUGUAUGUGUUUUCUAAUCUUGGCUCCUGGUUGGAAUCACGUACAAGCCUUUAAGAAAGAAAAGGUCUACGGGUUCCAUACCCAUAGAUUCAGAUGCAAUUGUUCUUGCGUGAUGUCUGGACUUCGGGUUUUUUUUAGUAGUUAUCUAGCGAGUCUCACGCACAACUCACGGAGAAAUUCACUGUUAAAAGCGUCUGUUUCUGUGACCCUAAACAUCGUUUUGCAGCUUCAUCUCCCGCAGGUGUCACAGAUGCUGAUCCGAAGGCCCAAGAAGGCUUUCCAGCACAUCCUCUGAGGUCUCAAGCUGCAGCUCAUUUGCUCUCUGGGGAACAUUCUACAACCUCUGGAGACACUUUGAGUUGCCAGAAUAAAGCCUGUGAGGAGUGGGCUGAAGAAGUUGCUCAGUGGUUAAGAGCACUUGCUGCUCUUACAGAGGUCUGAAGUUCAGUGCCCAUCACCCACAUGGCUGGCUCACAACCAUCUGUUGCUUCAGCUGCCUCUUCUGGACUCCAUGGGUACCUGCACACACAUGGCAUCUAUAAAUGCCGACCACACAAUAGGAAUCAUGCCCAUGCUGCCAAAUGAAGGGAAGGAGAGGAUGACUGUGGAGUUUAGGGGAAUGCUGGGGGCUGGUGAAAUGUAAAUGAAUCACUUUUGCAGUAGGGCUCAAAGCAAGGCUGAACACAAAGGCUCAGGUUAGCUCCAAACUGCCCAAAGCAAGUGGGGCUUCCGCGGGCUCUACAAGGAGUAUAUGUGAAAUCUUGACUCAGGAACUCCAAACUAAAACCACCAUGCCCAGCUCUUUGUUUUCUACAGUGUCUUCAACAAGAUGGAAUGAGUCAAAAUCGAAGGAAACUCCAAAUUCCAAGCUAAAAGUAAAGCUUAGAGAAAAACAGUAUUCCAGAUGAAAAUAGAAAUUAUAACCUGGGUUUUAUAAUUGCUUUGUUUGGGGGUGGGAUUGAGACACGGUUUCAUUCUGUAGUCCAGGUUGGACUGAAAUUCACUGAAUAGCCCAGGCUGGCCCUGCUUUUGUAUUACUUCUGCUUCCACUCCCCAAGUGUUGAGAUUAUAGGUAUGAACCCCCAUUCCUGUCCUAUAAACUUGUUUUGUUGUGAUAUUAAUGAAGGCUAAAUGAAUUAGUUCCUCCUAAUGUCAAAGAUUAUUAAAGGCUUAUGCCACCAAGAUUGCCAAGUACAGGGGAAUGAGACUGGACCUUGGAACCUGAUAUUGGGUCCAACAUUUAUCAGCCCUUGGAAUCUACCUACCUGCAGAAAAGUUAAACAAAAUUGCCUUAACAUUAGCAAAAAGUACCUGUCUGUCCUGCUGAAUGUCUAUAAAAGCCAGUUAGCUCCUCUUUAUGAAUGUUGCAUUCAAUCAGUCUGACAUUGCAGGUCAUGAUUUAAUGUCACAGCAUUAAAUCUUGACGACAGAGCAUGUUUACAGAAAAAACAAAUAAAUGGAUUGCAGAGA